GAGUUAAAACAAAAAGGCACUUUAUGAUCCUUAGUUUCACUUUGUGUUGUGAAUUUUAUCCUAAUGUCUAAUUCUUAUUUACCGUUUUAUUAAUGAUUCCUGUAGAAAUUGUGUUGCUGCACAUCACCUCUCUUGUACCUCCUGAGCUUCCGUAGCCCCCCCUUCUGUCCCUCACAUUGCCGUUUUGCAGUGCUGAGGUGUGUGUCUUCUGAGAGAGCGGAUGUGCAGCAUAUACCAAAAAGGCAAAUUAUGUUAUUUUGUCUUCACCAGAAAUUGUGUUGCUGCACAUCACCUCUCUUGUACCUCCUGAGCUUCCGUAGCCCC